GCAGUAGCGCGGGAAUACGGAGGGUGCAAGCGUUAAUCGGAAUUACUGGGCGUAAAGCGCACGCAGGCGGUUUGUUAAGUCAGAUGUGAAAUCCCCGAGCUUGACUUGGGAACUGCAUUUGAAACUGGCAAGCUAGAGUCUUGUAGAGGGGGGUAGAAUUCCAGGUGUAGCGGUGAAAUGCGUAGAGAUCUGGAGGAAUACCGGUGGCGAAGGCGGCCCCCUGGACAAAGACUGACGCUCAGGUGCGAAAGCGUGGGGAGCAAACAGGAUUAGAUACCCCGGUGUCCCUGUCUCUUAUACAC
rnacentral:rRNA from 1 species